UACGUAGGGGGCUAGCGUUGUCCGGAAUCAUUGGGCGUAAAGAGCGCGUAGGCGGUCAGACAAGUCCGGUGUGAAAGUCACAGGCUCAACCUGUGAAUGCCGCUGGAAACUGUCUGGCUAGAGUCCGGAAGAGGCGAGUGGAAUUCCCGGUGUAGCGGUGAAAUGCGUAGAUAUCUGGAGGAACACCGGUGGCGAAGGCGGCAUCCUGGACCGACACUGACGCUGAGGAGCGAAAGCCAGGGGAGCAAACGGG
rnacentral:rRNA from 1 species